AUAGCUAUUUCCUCUCUCCCCUUUGUCCGCAACUUCCGUUUGUUCUUCGAAGGUGAGAUGAAGGGUGGCAUUGGUAAUACCACAAGUCUAGGCAAUGAUGGCGAGUUUUGCACGAGCAGCUUAUACAAUCAAAUUUCUUUUUUACUGACACUUUUGAAAGUCUUUUCAUGCUUGCCCGAUAUAAAAAGGACAUUGCAAAUCUCUUACUCAUCAGUUGCAAACCGUGCAGUUGCAAAUACCAACCUCUAAAGCAAUCUUUAUCAAAAUGCCCUUAUUCUCCAAUGUUAUGUUGUGUUUAAUUCUAUAUUCUUAGUAAAAAAUUCAAUGAGAAGUCAGCUUUAACUCUCGGUAACGAGGGUGACUAGGAAGCUUGAUAAAGUCGUGGACAAUGAAAAAAAACAUGAAAAAGGAUUUGGACAUGUUCUGGCCAGCCCACGACGUGCACAGUACUACUAUAGCUGAUACCGACAAACCGCUAUAUGACCAAAGGCUUGGCUGUUUCGGAAAAUUUUAAAGAAUAUAGCAAUAGAAUAUAAAGAAUUUUGUUUAAUCUUUGAUUUUGUAGGCACUGAUGUCCCCACGCGAUGGUUUUCAGGAUUUAUGGACAUUUCGAAUAUGAUAUAACGCUUUGAUUUCCUUUCAACUUUUCGUUGGCCUGCAGGUUGAUAUAGGAUAAACAAAGAUGUACUAUGGCCUAAAGACAAAAUGAAAAGUAAUGCAGUAGUGAAGACAUAACAAUGAACCACGUUCUUCGUUCGUAGACUCGGAAUAUAAAUUUGAAAUAUUCUUACCGCUGCGGUUCCAAUAAAACAAAAUGCUAAUUUCAAAUGAAAUGCGGAAAAUCU